CACCUGAUAGCACAUGGUGUGCGCUUGCUACCUGUAAUGGGGUUUCAACGAGGAAUUGGUAUGCAAGAGGCCCUCGUUCGAUUCGGGGUCAGGUGA